CCUACGGGCGGCAGCAGUGAGGAAUAUUGGUCAAUGGCCGGAAGGCUGAACCAGCCAUGCCGCGUGAAGGUCAGUGCCCUAUGGGCGUUAAACUUCUUUUGUGCGGGAGCAAUAAUGGUCACGUGUGGCCAGACGAGAGUACCGUACGAAUAAGCAUCGGCUAACUCCGUGCCAGCAGCCGCGGUAAUACGGGGGAUGCAAGCGUUAUCCGGAUUUAUUGGGUGUAAAGGGAGCGUAGACGGUGCGCCAAGUCUGGAGUGAAAUGCCGCAGCUUAACUGCGGAACUGCUUUGGAAACUGGCGAACUAGAGUGCGGGAGGGGUAAGCGGAAUUCCUAGUGUAGCGGUGAAAUGCGUAGAUAUUAGGAGGAACACCGGUGGCGAAGGCGGCCGCCUGGCCUGUUACUGACGCUGAGGCACGAAAGCGUGGGGAGCAAAUAGGAUUAGAUACCCCUGUAGUC
rnacentral:rRNA from 1 species